rnacentral:rRNA from 1 species
GACGAACGCUGGCGGCGUGCUUAACACAUGCAAGUCGAACGGAAAGGCCCUGCUUUUGUGGGGUGCUCGAGUGGCGAACGGGUGAGUAACACGUGAGUAACCUGCCCUUGACUUUGGGAUAACUUCAGGAAACUGGGGCUAAUACCGGAUAGGAGCUCCUACUGCAUGGUGGGGGUUGGAAAGUUUCGGCGGUUGGGGAUGGACUCGCGGCUUAUCAGCUUGUUGGUGGGGUAGUGGCUUACCAAGGCUUUGACGGGUAGCCGGCCUGAGAGGGUGACCGGCCCCCUUGGGACUGAGAUACGGCCCAGACUCCUACGGGAGGCAGCAGUGGGGAAUAUUGCACAAUGGGCGGAAGCCUGAUGCAGCAACGCCGCGUGCGGGAUGACGGCCUUCGGGUUGUAAACCGCUUUCGCCUGUGACGAAGCGUGAGUGACGGUAAUGGGUAAAGAAGCACCGGCUAACUACGUG